rnacentral:rRNA from 1 species
AUUGAACGCUGGCGGCAUGCCUAACACAUGCAAGUCGAACGAGUGGCGGACGGGUGAGUAAUGUCUGGGAAACUGCCCGAUGGAGGGGGAUAACUACUGGAAACGGUAGCUAAUACCGCAUACCAUCGGAUGUGCACAGAUUGGAUUAGCUAGUAGGUGGGGUAAAGGCUCACCUAGGCGACGAUCCCUAGCUGGUCUGAGAGGAUGACCAGCCACACUGGGACUGAGACACGGUCCAGACUCCUACGGGAGGCAGCAGUGGUGAAUAUUGCACAAUGGGCGCAAGCCUGAUGCAGCCAUGCCGCGUGUAUGAAGAAGGCCUUCGGGUUGUAAAGUACUUUCAGCGGGGAGGCGUUACCCGCAGAAGAAGCACCGGCUAACUCCGUGCCAGCAGCCGCGGUAAUUC